rnacentral:ribozyme from 1 species
UGCCUAGCAACUCCUAUCCCUACCUCCUCGCGGUACUGGCCGGGGUACGAGUAACCUUAGGGAAGA